UACGUAGGGUGCGAGCGUUGUCCGGAAUUAUUGGGCGUAAAGGGCUCGUAGGCGGUUUGUCGCGUCGGGAGUGAAAACUCAGGGCUUAACCCUGAGCCUGCUUCCGAUACGGGCAGACUAGAGGUAUGCAGGGGAGAACGGAAUUCCUGGUGUAGCGGUGAAAUGCGCAGAUAUCAGGAGGAACACCGGUGGCGAAGGCGGAUCUCUGGGCCGUAACUGACGCUGAGGAGCGAAAGCAUGGGAGCGAACAGG
rnacentral:rRNA from 1 species